CCUCUUCUCAGAACACUUCCUGGGUCUGAUUGGUGGCCCAGGGAGCUGUUAGAGAAGAGCAGAGCAAAUGGCCAUCACUUUGUAGAUGAGAUGGCAGGAGAGUGGAUUGUUGGUCUCAGUCAGUGGUGGGACAGAC
ensembl:snoRNA SNORA21B small nucleolar RNA, H/ACA box 21B